AGAGUUUGAUCCUGGCUCAGGACGAACGCUGGCGGCGUGCUUAACACAUGCAAGUCGAACGGAAAGGCCCCUUCGGGGGUACUCGAGUGGCGAACGGGUGAGUAACACGUGGGUGAUCUGCCCUGCACUUUGGGAUAAGCCUGGGAAACUGGGUCUAAUACCGAAUAGGACCGCAUGCUUCAUGGUGUGUGGUGGAAAGCUUUUGCGGUGUGGGAUGGGCCCGCGGCCUAUCAGCUUGUUGGUGGGGUAAUGGCCUACCAAGGCGACGACGGGUAGCCGGCCUGAGAGGGUGUCCGGCCACACUGGGACUGAGAUACGGCCCAGACUCCUACGGGAGGCAGCAGUGGGGAAUAUUGCACAAUGGGCGCAAGCCUGAUGCAGCGACGCCGCGUGGGGGAUGACGGCCUUCGGGUUGUAAACCUCUUUCAGUAUCGGCGAAGCUCCAGGAUUUUUCUUGGGGUGACGGUAGGUACAGAAGAAGCACCGGCCAACUACGUGCCAGCAGCCGCGGUAAUACGUAGGGUGCGAGCGUUACUCGGAAUUACUGGGCGUAAAGCGUGCGUAGGUGGUUAUUUAAGUCCGUUGUGAAAGCCCUGGGCUCAACCUGGGAACUGCAGUGGAUACUGGAUGACUAGAAUGUGGUAGAGGGUAGCGGAAUUCCUGGUGUAGCAGUGAAAUGCGUAGAGAUCAGGAGGAACAUCCAUGGCGAAGGCAGCUACCUGGACCAACAUUGACACUGAGGCACGAAAGCGUGGGGAGCAAACAGGAUUAGAUACCCUGGUAGUCCAA
rnacentral:rRNA from 1 species